rnacentral:rRNA from 1 species
CCUACGGGUGGCAGCAGUAGGGAAUCUUCCACAAUGGACGAAAGCCUGAUGGAGCAACGCCGCGUGGGUGAAGAAGGUCUUCGGCUCGUAAAGCCCUGUUGUUAGAGAAGAAAGUGAGUGGUAGUAACUGUCCACGUUUCGACGGUAAUUACCUAGAAAGCCACGGCUAACUACGUGCCAGCAGCCGCGGUAAUACGUAGGUGGCAAGCGUUGUCCGGAUUUAUUGGGCGUAAGGGGAACGCAGGCGGUCCAAUAAGUCUGAUGUGAAAGCCUUCGGCUUAACCGGAGUAGUGCAUCGGAAACUGGUAGACUUGAGUGCAGAAGAGGAGAGUGGAACUCCAUGUGUAGCGGUGGAAUGCGUAGAUAUAUGGAAGAACACCAGUGGCGAAAGCGGCUCUCUGGUCUGUAACUGACGCUGAGGUUCGAAAGCAUGGGUAGCGAACAGGAUUAGAUACCCGUGUAGUC